rnacentral:rRNA from 1 species
CCUACGGGAGGCAGCAGUCGAGAAUCAUUCACAAUGGGGGAAACCCUGAUGGUGCGACGCCGCGUGGGGGAAUGAAGGUCUUCGGAUUGUAAACCCCUGUCAUGUGGGAGCAAAUUAAAAAGAUAGUCCCACAAGAGGAAGAGAUGGCUAACUCUGUGCCAGCAGCCGCGGUAAUGCAGAGGUCUCAAGCGUUGUUCGGAAUGACUGGGCGUAAAGCGUGCGGAGGCGGGUGCGUAAGUCGGGUGUGAAAGGCGCGGGCUCAACCCGCGGACGGCACAUGUUACUGCGAGACUAGAGUAAUGGAGAGGGAAGCGGAAUUCGCGGUGUAGCAGUGAAAUGCGUAGAUAUCGAGAGGAACACUCGUGGCGAAGGCGGGUUCCUGGACAUUAACUGACGCUGAGGCACGAAGGCGAGGGGAGCGAAAGGGAUUAGAUACCCCAGUAGUC